rnacentral:tRNA from 2 species
GCCCGGGUGGUGAAAUUGGUAGACACACAAGACUUAAAAUCUUGCGGCUUAUGGCUGUGCCGGUUCGAUUCCGGCCCCGGGCACCA